GGUAACAGCUCAACACGUCUUUGAUUUUGUGCAUUCCUCAAAUGGGUUUUCGUGGAUCAGUCCAAUGUAUGGAGGACUGGUAUUUCAUGGUCAAUCUUCUUCGUUUUAGCCAUUGGCGUGCCGCUUGUCUCACACUUUCUCCUCUCCUGCUCCGACUGCGAUGAAAAUCACAGCAGGCCUUACCAUGUAGUUUCUCAGUUAUCACUUUCUUUAUUCUCAAUGCUCAACAAAAGGAACAUCACGUGAGCUAGCACUAAGCCGCUAUAAUUGAGUAUGGGCACGCAAGAGGCUUCGAGAGCAGCACCAUAUCAGAAAGUGCUAAAGCCUGUUUUUGAGAACAGCAAACCCACCGAAAGAAAGAAAAAUAAAUAAAUUUAAAUAAAAAAAUCCAAUAAGCUCUACGCCCUUUAUGCUUUCUAUUACUUUAUUAUUUCUCUACAGUAUUUAAUAAACCAAUUGGUGCAGGUACAAUGGUAGCAGUGGAAAAAGGAGGGGCAUGGAUUCGCCUGGAACAUGCGUGAUAUUCUACUAAUAUAUCAGUAUAAUAAUAUUAUACUAUUUGAUCGUGGUGUUGAUAAGAACCCACCAAUAAUUGCCUUUACUUUAUCGCAAAUUUACUUUUACUUAAAGUAUGAUGUGGAAUUAACCCUCAUACUUUAUGAAAUUACUUUACUGCACAUUAUUUACUGUAUGGUGUAGGUUUAUUACCCACACAACAGUAUCUGUUUAAAAGGGUGGUGCGAGUUUAUCGUCCACGCCUUUACUUUUAUUUAAAUGUAUGGAGCAGAAUUAGUGCCCAUACAAGCACCUUUACUUUAUCGUAAAUUUACUUUUACUUAAAGUAUGAUGUGGAAUUGACCCUCAUACUUUAUGAAAUUUACUUUACCGCACAUUUAUUUUAUUUACUGUAUGGUGUAGGUUUAUUACCCAUACAACAGUAUUUAUUUAAAAGGGUGGCGCGGGUUUAUCGCCCAUGCCUUUACUUUUAUUUAAAAGUAUGGAGCAGAAUUAGUGCCCAUACAAGCACGUUUACUUUAUGAAUUUAAUUUACCGCACAUUUAAUUUUAUUUAAGGUAUGGUGCGGGAUUAACGUCCAUACAGCAAGCAAUUUAAUUUAUGAAUUUAUUUUACCGCACAUUUACAUUUAUUUAAAGUAUGGUGCGGGUUUAUCGUCCAUACCAGUAAUUUAUUUACCAGCAAUUUAUUUUAUGGAUUAAUUGUGUUGUAUGAUGAGUUUUUACAGUAUGCAGAUCAGGACCAGAAGUUCAUUGAUCCUCAUCAUACAAUUACAUCAGGACUUGAAGAUCCUUGAUGAUGAUGUUAAUAUGAGAGCUAGUAGUCUCUCCGGUACUAUAUUUGUAAACAUGUGAUUGGACUUGAGGGUCCUUGAUCCCUGACAUGUAAAUAAGGACCUGGGGUUCCUUAAUGAUGUAACAGUACCGUAUUGUUUCAUAAUGCCGUACACAUGGAUGAUAACUGUACUGGCAAAUGUACUGUCCAUAUGAAUAGAUACGUAUUCAUGACUUAAUGAAUAGUAUCGGAUAUAUGAAUAGUGACGUAUAC
rnacentral:lncRNA from 1 species